rnacentral:rRNA from 1 species
GACGAACCGUGCAAACGUUGUUCGGAAUCACUGGGCUUAAAGGGCGCGUAGGCGGCUUAUCAAGUCGGGGGUGAAAUACUUCAGCUUAACUGGAGAAGUGCCUUCGAUACUGGUGGGCUUGAGGGAGGUAGGGGUCUGUGGAACUUCUGGUGGAGCGGUGAAAUGCGCAGAUAUCAGGAGGAACACCGGUGGCGAAGGCGGGUCUCUGGGCCGAUACUGACGCUGAGGAGCGAAAGCGUGGGGAGCGAACAGG